rnacentral:misc_RNA from 1 species
GUGCUCUUACACGUGGAGGUCCUGGUGGACUACCUAGACCAAUAGAGGUUCAUGCACAUGAUCCAUUACGUUAUGUGGGUGACAUGCUAGGAUGGUUGCAUCAGGCCUUGGCAUCUGAACGAGAACUUGUUCUUGUGUUACUUGAUCCAGAUGCUGUGGUAGAUGCUGGAUCCUCUGCAAAUCGAUUGCCCAAGAAUUUGGAGAAUGGUACUGGAAAGACACAAUCAGACUUGACAUUUGUGUUGGAUAGAAUUUUUGAAGGAGUUUGCCGGCCUUUUAAAGUUCGAGUUGAACAAGUUUUGCAGUCACAGCCUAGUCUUAUAAUUGCAUACAAACUGAGUAAUACACUGGGAUUUUACAGCUACACUAUAUCAGAUUUGCUUGGGAGAGAUACAGCGCUCUAUAGUACACUUUCGAUGCUCAAGGAUGCUGCACAGAAAACAUUUUUUGACAUUCUCAAAAGUCGGGGGGAGAAGCUUUUACGCUAUCCUCCCCUUGUCGCUGUUGAUCUUUCCCCACCUGAAGCAGUGCGGGAAGGAGUCUCUGUUCUACUUGAAAUAAUUGAGACUCAUGACAGCAUGAUGGUUCCUGCUUCAGAGAAAAAGCCUGAUUUUGAUCCUGUGAUAUCUGCUAUACUUGAUCCUAUCAUUCAGAUGAGCAAGCCGCAGAGGCACACAAGUCCAAGGGUGCUGGUCACUUGACAAGAAGAAGAAUGAGUUCAGA